CUACGGGAUGCUGCAGUUAGGAAUCUUCUGCAAUGCGCGAGAGCGUGACAGAGUGAGCCAGAGUGCUUUUCUUAUUUGAAAAGCUUUUGUGAAAUGUAAAAAGUUUCACGAAUAAGGACUGGGUAAGACUAGUGCCAGCCGCCGCGGUAAUACUAGCGGUCCAAGUCGCAGUCAUUUUUAUUGGGUCUAAAACAUCCGUAGCUUGUUUUAUAAGUCUCUUGUGAAAUCCGGUUUCUUAAGAAUUGGGUGUGCAAGAGAUACUGUAGAACUAGAGACUGGAAGACGUAAGAAGUACAAUCAAGGUAAUGGUAAAAUAUGUUAAUCUUGGUUGGACUAACAACAGCGAAGGCAUCUUACGAGGACAGUUCUGACAGUAAGGGAUGAAGGCUAGGGGCGCAAAACGGAUUAGAUACCCGGGUAGUC
rnacentral:rRNA from 1 species